rnacentral:tRNA from 1 species
GAGAUGGGCACGCACCUGACCUGCUAACUCAGUCCCCCAGAGCUAAACCUUUGGCCAUCCCA